UGGGAUGUCGUCCAAUGGUAGGACUCCAGAAUUUGGGUCUGGCUAUCAUGGUUCGAAUCCAUGCGUCCCAACCA
rnacentral:tRNA from 2 species